GGUGGUUCUUGGGUGAUGCAACCUGGAAUCGGCCUCCCUUCUCUCUGGUUCCCGGUGUGUCACCCGAGAACCACU
rfam:Myotis lucifugus cont2.24149, whole genome shotgun sequence.